GAAAGAAAUGCAGAUUACAUGAUUGUUUGCCUAAGUUCGUUAGAUAGACAAUUUUAUUUGAGGCAAAACAGAGAUUAGGAACUUGCGAGGAUGAAAACAGAUGUUAGGAAAUGACAGUUUAUUGAAAACAGUUCCAAGAAACAUGGUUGAAGUUGAAAACAAACUAAGAAAGAGGAUUCUCUUCCUCCAUUUCAAAGCAAGCUAUCAGCUCGAGAUGGCAAUCUCCUGAAGAAAUUGCUAGGAACUGAUGGUAGCUUGCUUCGAAAUCUAGGAUGCCUGAACCAGAAUAAGCCUGUAAUCAAGACAAUUAUCUUGAAAGGCGUUAUGUAGAGCACAAAAGCUGCAAUAAAGCAGAAAAUUACAUAGAGCGCUGUUGCUCUUGGGUCUCUCCAGCUGAGGAGAGCCUGAAAUCGUUCCCCUUGUGUUGCCAUAUCUCCCACCACUGUUUGAAUCCUUCCUGCAACACUUCUAAGCCUGUCAUACCUCAUUCGUGCUACAUCUUGCUGCUUUGAUGUAGGGAAAGUGUCGAAUUCCUCAUCU
rnacentral:misc_RNA from 1 species